rnacentral:rRNA from 1 species
GACGAACGCUGGCGGCGUGCUUAACACAUGCAAGUCGAACGGAAAGGCCCUGCUUUUGUGGUGUUCUCGAUUGGCGAACGGGUGAGUAACACGUGUGUAACCUGCCCUUUACUUUGUGAUAUCUUCAGGAAACUGGGGCUAAUACCGGAUAUGAUCUCCUGCUGCAUGGUGGUGGUUGGUAAGUUUCGGCGGUUGGGGAUGGACUCGCUGCUUAUCAGCUUGUUGGUGGGGUAGUGGCUUACCAAGGCUUUGACGGGUAGCCGGCCUGGGAGGGUGAGCGGGGAAAAGGGGACUGAGAUACGGCACAGAGGGGAACGGGAGGCAGAAGUGGGGAAUAUUGCAGAAGGGGCGGAAGGGUGAGGCAGCAAGGCGGGGUGGGGGAAGAAGGGAUAGGGGUAGAAAAAAGAUUUAGAAUGAGACGAAGAGGGAGUGACGGUAAUGGGUAAAGAAGCACCGGCUAACUACGUG